rnacentral:lncRNA from 1 species
GUCAAAAUUUGAAUAACAUCCCUUACACCAAAACCAAAAACGUGCUCACAAAAUAUAAAAGAUCAAACUACCUAAGGGAGAAAACUUGAAAGUAAAAACUACGAAUGUGACUAUGGAGUCUUUAGGCGUCCCCUUCGUCGUCUUCCUGCGGAACCGGCUCGGGAACGAUGUCCUCUUGAUCUGAAAUGAUUAAAUAAGGA